GCAGAGUAGACUGUGGAGCGUUAAGUGUCCGGUGAACAGGGAGUUGUCACCGGGACGAAAAGAGCUUUUCUUGCGGUUCCACGGUCGCAUCCCGCUGC
rnacentral:ncRNA from 1 species